rnacentral:lncRNA from 1 species
CUGUCUGCAUUCAUGAUCUUCUCAGAGACCUAUGCAUAAGCUUAGCAGAUGAAGAAAAGUUCUUUUCUUCUGCGAGAGUUUGGUGUGUGAGUGAGGGAUUCUACAGUGAGAGAUCUAUCAACGAAGUGUAAGUUGCGGUUCUUUGCUCAUAGUCCUGCUAAUUUCUCCGAGUUCAAGCUUCCUUCUUCAAUAUCCUUUGUUUGGAAUCUGCAAAUGUUGAUCUUUGUUUGGAAUUCCCAACAGGUUAUGAAGAUUUCCAGUGGUUUGUGAGCAAGAGGCUUGCAUUCCCCACUUGGCUAACAAGUUGUGCUUGAGAAAUGCAGCCUCGCUCGAGAAGAUCUGGCAACGAUUGGUUCGUUCCACAUCUACAAGUUCUUGAGCUAGAACACAACUCUUUCUUGGGAGGCGAGUUGAGCAUUUUCAACGGUGAGUUUCCUUGUCUCGGGUUCUUGAGAAUCGACGGCUGUGAGUCGUGUGUUGGGCUGACACCUCUGCUUUUCAGCUCUUGAAAAGCUCAUUGCUUGAGCUCUGUGGCAGUUGCAAGAGAUCCCUUCGGAUAUCGGAGAGACAAACAUGCUCAAACUCAUUCAUUUGCAUCACUGCUCUGAAUCUGAAAGAGCAAGACAGCUUUGGGAAUUAUAGCCUUACGAUUGAAGUUGACAUCUCUUGUUACUGCUGCAGUGAGAGUCUCUUAGGGUGAAUAUCACUUUAAAACUUCAAACUUUUUUCAGUUUUCCUAAUUUGUUAUGAUUUUCCAUUAACCUGUACUUUCAUGAAAUAAUCAAAAAAAUGUAGCUAACAUAAGAAUAUAAUUCUAACCAUUAUACAAAUUCCUUCCUAUUUUAAUUUUUUUUAAUUCAAGUCCAC